rnacentral:rRNA from 1 species
AUCGAACGCUGGCGGCAGGCCUAACACAUGCAAGUCGAACGAGUGGAGGACGGGUGAGUAAUGUCUGGGAAACUGCCUGACGUAGGGGGAUAACUACUGGAACCGGUAGCUAAUACCGCUUACAAUCCGAUGUGCUCAGAUGGGUUUAGCUAGUUGGUGGGGUAACGGCUCACAAAGGGGACGAUCCCUAGCUGGUCUGAGAGGAUGACCGGUCACACUGGAACUGAGACACGGUCCAGACUCCUACGGGUGGCAGCAGUGGGGAAUAUUGCACAAUGGGCGAAAGUCUGACGGAGCAAUGCCGCGUGUAUGAAGAAGGCCUUCGGGUUGUAAAGUUCUUUCAGCAGGGAAGCGUUACCCAAAGAGAAAGCAACGGCUAACUACGUGCCAGCAGCCGCGGUAAUUC